CUGCCCGUGUCCGUGCCACUGCUCGCGAUCUGGCCCUGCGCCCACCAACGCAGCUCGCCUCGUUCGAGAGGACAUAGUCUUGAGCUAUGAAAAGAAGACAUAGUCUUGCGAUGCAUCAAGGGAGGUUUAGGUUGGAUAUUAGGAGGAAUUUCUUCACAGAAAGGGUGAUUAGACGUUGGAAUGGGCUGCCCAGGGAGGUGCUGGAGUCACCGUCCCUGUAGGUGUUUAAGGAAGGGCUGGGCAUGGCACUUGCUGCCAUGGUCUAGUUGACAAGGUGGUGUUGGGUCUCAGCGAUCUCAGAGGUCUUUUCCAAUCUAAUUGAUCCUGUGCUUCCCAGCCACUCUCCGCUACGAUAUUAAGCUUGGGCGGCACAGUGGAGGUGUUCUCUCUUAUGUGUGGUGCUCCCAACCUUCUCCAGUAUUGCACAGAGGAGAGGCUGUUCCGCCCCUCAGGAAAAGCUGUGGGCCAGGGGAAGGUGUGGAGUGGCUGUUGCGUUAUUCUGUGGCAGGGCAAGCUAAAGACACAGCCAGAGCAGAGCACUCUUUUCCCUGCCUUUGAAGUAAGAUGGGGCUUUGCUGAAAAACCUUAGCUUGGAGGUGAUGAAACUGAGAAGCAGUAGAGUUGGCAUCAGUGGUGGUGCUGUCAUGAGUGACUGGAAAGGCAUGGACUGUUUCGAUUGAAUCUCCCACCUUACAAAGAUCUUCCCAGCAAACAAAGCUAAUCCCGUGCUGUGCUCUAGGAAUUGUCUCUUAUUGUGAAUUUAGAACCAGAAGUUCUUGGGUUCUUAUUUCCAGAACUGAACUGCUCCAGCAGUCAGAUGCUAAUCUUAAGGUGGAGACGAUGCCAUGCUAACAGGAGUGGCAUUUGCUGUAUAAAUAUUAGCCCAUUUAUGUUAGCUUAAGGAAGGAAAUCCUUUAGCACUUAAGUGCUAAAGGUGGAAUGGUGCUGUAAUUACAGGAAUUACAUGUACUGUAAAAACAUUAGUCUAUCUGUCUUGUAACGUGUUUGUUCUCUGAUGAUUUAAACAGAAAAUAAAAAGGCCCUCUUUGUGGAUCAAUGUUUACUCCUGCUAUAUCAGAAAGACAUCCUUCCAAAGAAACUAAGGUGUUGGUUUAAAAGCAUGUAUAGAUAUUCUGAUUAAAAGCUUAAAAUCCUUAUGCAAGGUAGAUGAUGUCUCUGAAAUCAAGAAAAAAUAGUUGGAAACGCUCUCAGGCAAUUUAAAGGUCGGAUGGAAUGAAUACAAUGUAACUAAGAAAUUUAAAAAUUGCAGUUGUUUAUUUAGGCUUGACUAGAACAUUAUACCACAUGUUGUCCUGCAAGUAACUGUUCAACAGAUGGUCCCUGGCUGUGUUCUGACCAUGACAAACAAUGACAGAGCCAACGCCUGGAUUUUAAUCAGCAAAAUCUCCCACACAAUGAUCUCCCAAGCAUGGAAAGAGAACCAGCACAGUGCUGUGGAAAGGAAGAAAAACAGUAUUAAUGAAGCAUUCUCUAGAAUCCACCUACAGUUGUCACUUACAAUAAAAUGAAUGAGAAAUUAGGGGAGAAAUUAAUUUAAUAUUGGAUUUGUUCCUCUGGUAAGCAUAGUGAUCAAACUCUGUUGACAUGUCAUGCUCAUGUAAAGAUGCAUCUAUUCUUUUUUUUUUCUUGCAAAAUAUCCAGAGCAGAGUAACUCAGGUAGUCAUGCAGGCUGUCUGCAGUUUUGCUCCCUUUUUUUUUUUAAGAUGGCAUUUUCAUUGUAGAUUAUGCUGCCUACAUAGAAAAGGCUCAUCACUGUUCUGUCAGCAGUUUCCAAACUUUAUUUCUCAUAUAAAUCAUUCUUCUUUUGACACCAUUCUAGUAAGCAAGAACUUUAGAAUGUCUUUUAAACAGAUUAAACAUUUUGUUUAAGUUCCAUUCAAAUAUCUCUCAACACUAGAAAUAGGGCCAUGAAGCAAUCUCUAAUGGCUUUUAACCAUAAACUCCUUAUUCACUGGUCUCCUGUUGGAGGUGCUAUUUUUCCUCUGUCACCAGGUUUGUGUAGUGGAAAUGAUGACCGUCAAAAGCUACCUGAGAUUAACAAAAUUAUCAUGGGGAUACUUCCCCUGUAAUGCAGCUUGGGUUGCAGACAUGAUGUGCUCCUCUACAUUCAGAAUAAAAUAUAGGAAGUCCUGUGUAAGUCCCAUAGGUCAAAGAUGGGAAUAGAGGAGAUAUUUCUGGGAACCUGUUUUCUGUCUUUAGCAAAAGCUUUUUAUAAAUUCUUUAAUAAUUGGACUGAUACGUAUGUCCAGCAGAACAGUGUGGUGCAGCUGUUUAAAGAAACCACAAAGAAAGAUCAGCAGAAAUGCUGAUAAAAACCCUGAGUGAUGAGAAUACCACUUGUUUUCUGACAUACUGCUGAAUGUUUAACUCGGGCUUCUUUUCAUGUCCCACAAUACUGAGGAUUAGAGCUCUCUUCCCAAUUAUGUUGCAAGUAUUACAUCUGCUGAGUUUGCUCUUUAGACAAAUAAACUCACUCCAUGUGCCCUCAGUGUUCGGAAUGAAGUGGUCUGUUUUGGCCAGAAGUGAGAGAUGAUGGUUGGUGGCCAGUUUCAGGUAAUACAAUGAUGUUAUGAGAAGCUGAACAGAUGUCAUCAAGGUACACAGGAUAUACUCAAGGCUGUGUUGGACAACGGAAGGGUGUCUCUGACAAAGGUCAAAGAGGUAGAUUGAGGAAGGUAUUGGCUAGGAAAGAGAAACAGCUAGGGGCAGUGCAGAUGCUAGAACUCGGGCUUAAAACUUCUGCAGAGUUCCCAGGGUGCACACAUUGUAAGGUGAAUUAAAACACGAUUUUAACGGUGACAGAGGUAAAUUGCAUAGAGCUCAGUUUUGAAAAAAUUGGAUCCUUAUGCUCCAUCUUUUGCAAAAAAUGCGCGUCUCCUCUAUCAAGCUGGCAUUUCAACUGGUGUAAAAGCUGUGAUGAAUGACCACUAGAGGUCAUUCAUAGAAUAAGAAAUAAUUCAGGCUUUCAAUUGGCUGGUUUGCUGACCUGGCAUUUGUUUUGUUCUUUGUCAUUAACAUAAAGAAAGAGUGAACUUUACAAGAGAGCUAAGUACUAGAUUUCUGAAGAUAACUGACUAUCCAUGUUCUCCACAGGUCCUCAGUGAUUGUAGGUAGCCCUAUGUGACUGCUGACAUUUUCAGGAGUGCUAAUGAAUUUGAUUGGAAACUAGACAUACACCUAGAAACCUGAAUACUUUGCUGUGUGCUUCUUUAUGUGUUUAGGUACUAUAUAGAUUCACCCUGUCUUUGGCAGAUAGAAGAAAGGAAACGUGUACUGUUUAUUUAAACAUCA